rnacentral:rRNA from 1 species
UACAGAGGGUGCGAACGUUGCUCGGAAUUACUGGGCGUAAAGCGCGUGUAGGCGGACCAUUAAGUCAGGUGUGAAAUCCCUGGGCUCAACCCAGGAACUGCACUUGAAACUGGCGGUCUUGAGUGAUGGAGAGGGAUGCGGAAUUCCCGGUGUAGAGGUGAAAUUCGUAGAUAUCGGGAGGAACACCAGUGGCGAAGGCGGCAUCCUGGACAUUGACUGACGCUGAGACGCGAAAGCGUGGGGAGCAAACAGG